ACGGCGAGUGAAGAGGAAAGAGCUCAAAGUUGGAACCUAUUUGGCUUAGCUAAAUCGGAUUGUAAACUGUAGAAGUGUUUUCCAGACACGCCUGGUAAAAAAGUCCUUUGGAACAGGGCAUCAUAGAGGGUGAGAAUCCCGUCAUUGGCCAGAGCUGUUGUCUUUUGUGAUACAUUUUCAAAGAGUCAGGUUGUUUGGGAAUGCAGCCUAAAUUGGGUGGUAAAUCUCACCUAAAGCUAAAUAUUUGCGAGAGACCGAUAGCGAACAAGUACCGUGAGGGAAAGAUGAAAAGAACUUUGAAAAGAGAGUUAAACAGUAUGUGAAAUUGUUAAAAGGGAACCGUUUGGAGCCAGACUGGCUUAAUCGUAAUCAAUCUAGGCUUUGGCCUGGAUGCACUUGCGGUUUAUGCCGGCCAACGACAGUUUUGUUUGGGAGAAAAAAUUACAUUGAAUGUGGCCCCUCGGGGUGUUAUAGCUUUGUAAAAAAUAUCCUGGACUGGACUGAGGAACGCAGUGAAUGCCUUUAGGCAAGAUUGCUGGGUGCUUUCGCUAAUAAAUGCUAGAAUUUCUGCUUCGGGUGGUGCUAGUGUUUAAAGGAGGAACUCGCCUGGUAUAUUUUUUAUUCGCUUAGGUUGUUGGCUUAAUGACUCUAAAUGAC
rnacentral:rRNA from 1 species